rnacentral:rRNA from 1 species
UGCCAGCCGCCGCGGUAAUACGGAGGGAGCUAGCGUUGUUCGGAAUUACUGGGCGUAAAGGGCGUGUAGGCUGUUAGGUAAGUCAGAGGUGAAAUCCCUAAGCUCAACUUAGGAACUGCCUUUGAUACUAUCUUACUAGAGAUCGAGAGAAGUUGGCGGAAUUCCAAGUGUAGAGGUGAAAUUCGUAGAUAUUUGGAAGAACACCAGUGGCGAAAGCGGCCAACUGGCUCGUAUCUGACGCUGAGACGCGAAAGCGUGGGUAGCAAACAGGAUUAGAUA